rnacentral:rRNA from 1 species
AGUGAACGCUGGCGGUAGGCCUAACACAUGCAAGUCGAACGGCAGCACAGUAAGAGCUUGCUCUUACGGGUGGCGAGUGGCGGACGGGUGAGGAAUACAUCGGAAUCUACUUUUUCGUGGAGGAUAACGUAGGGAAACUUACGCUAAUACCGCAUACGACCUACGGGUGAAAGCAGGGGAUCUUCGGACCUUGCGCGAUUGAAUGAGCCGAUGUCGGAUUAGCUAGUUGGCGGGGUAAAGGCCCACCAAGGCGACGAUCCGUAGCUGGUCUGAGAGGAUGAUCAGCCACACUGGAACUUAGACACGGUCCAUACUCCUACGGGAGGGAGCAGUGGGGAAUAUUGGACAAUGGGCGCAAGCCUGAUCCAGCCAUACCGCGUGGGUGAAGAAGGCCUUCGGGUUGUAAAGCCCUUUUGUUGGGAAAGAAAAGCAGCAGGUUAAUACCCCGCUGUUCUGACGGUACCCAAAGAAUAAGCACCGGCUAACUUCGUG